rnacentral:rRNA from 1 species
CAGUAGCCGCGGUAAUACGAAGGGGGCUAGCGUUGCUCGGAAUUACUGGGCGUAAAGGGCGCGUAGGCGGCGCUCCAAGUUAGGCGUGAAAUUCCCGGGCUCAACCUGGGGACUGCGCUUAAGACUGGAGUGCUUGAGUAUGGAAGAGGUUAGUGGAAUUGCGAGUGUAGAGGUGAAAUUCGUAGAUAUUCGCAGGAACACCAGUGGCGAAGGCGGCUAACUGGUCCAUAACUGACGCUGAGGUGCGAAAGCGUGGGGAGCAAACAGGAUUAGAUACCCGAGUAGUCCCUGUCUCUUAUAC